AUUGAACGCUGGCGGCAUGCCUUACACAUGCAAGUCGAACGGCAGCAUGGAGAGCUUGCUCUCUGAUGGCGAGUGGCGAACGGGUGAGUAAUGCAUCGGAACGUACCGUGUAAUGGGGGAUAACGUAGCGAAAGUUACGCUAAUACCGCAUACGACCUGAGGGUGAAAGCAGGGGAUCGCAAGACCUUGCGUUAUACGAGCGGCCGAUGUCAGAUAGCUAGUUGGUGGGGUAAAGGCUCACCAAGGCGACGAUCUGUAGCGGGUCUGAGAGGAUGAUCCGCCACACUGGGACUGAGACACGGCCCAGACUCCUACGGGAGGCAGCAGUGGGGAAUUUUGGACAAUGGGGGCAACCCUGAUCCAGCCAUGCCGCGUGAGUGAAGAAGGCCUUCGGGUUGUAAAGCUCUUUCGGCCGGGAAGAAAUCGCACAGGCUAAUACUCUGUGUGGAUGACGGUACCGGCAUAAGAAGCACCGGCUAACUACGUGCCAGCCGCCGCCGUAA
rnacentral:rRNA from 1 species